AGUUUUAUAUUCAAUAUAGAUGAUUUUAAAUUGCAAAUUUAAAGGAGUAAAAAUUUUUUACUAAAACUU
rnacentral:tRNA from 1 species